rnacentral:rRNA from 1 species
GACGUAGGGGACGAGCGUUGUCCGGAUUCAUUGGGCGUAAAGCGCGCGUAGGCGGCCACGCAAGUCGGGUGUGAAAUCCCGGAGCUCAACUCCGGAACUGCACUCGAAACUGCGCGGCUUGAGGUAGGUAGGGGAGAUCGGAAUUCCUGGUGUAGCGGUGGAAUGCGCAGAUAUCAGGAGGAACACCGGUGGCGAAGGCGGGUCUCUGGACAGUUCCGUGACACUGAGGCACGAAGGCCAGGGGAGCAAACGGG